rnacentral:rRNA from 1 species
UACGGAGGGUGCAAGCGUUAAUCGGAAUUACUGGGCGUAAAGCGCACGUAGGUGGUUCGCUAAGUCAGCUGUGAAAUCCCCGGGCUCAACCUGGGACUUGCAGUUGAAACUGGUGAGCUAGAGUAGGGUAGAGGGGUGUGGAAUUCCAGGUGUAGCGGUGAAAUGCGUAGAUAUCUGGAGGAACAUCAGUGGCGAAGGCG